UCUGAAAAGCUGCUUUGAGACAACGGGAAAAUAGUGUUUAAGGUGUUGGAAGGUUGUGAGUUUAAAGCUCACAGCCACCAAGCUGCCACUGCUGGGGCCCCUAAUCAAGGCCCUUUAACUCUUGAGAUGUUGUGUGAGAUGAGAUGAUGUAAAUGUAACCGGUCUCACACACAGUAUUCCUGAUUGACCCUGAAUGAAUGUAGUGUAUAUCAACACAACAGCUCAGAUCUCCACCUUCAUAUCCCAGGUUAGAGAAGAGCUGAACAUUGUGCACAGAAACACAUCAUAGUCCUAACAUAGCUAUAAAAGACCACUCACAUAGGUAGUGUAUCUGUUAAAACCACACGUUAUAACACGAGUUAUAACGUGUGACGUUUGACUGCUUCCGCUACCGGAGACAAAUAUAAACAAUUAGCAGUUUGUGCUAACAACACAAUUCAUCUUCCGUAUCAGUUUUAUCGCGUCUACACAAGCUGAGACUAGCUGAAACUCUCAAAAACAAAACACAGCGGCAACCUGGAAUGACAAAGGUGAUGCUUAAAGAAAGAUUCAGCUCAGUAGGAUGAAUUCAAUCAAUCCAUGUCUAAAGGGAAAGGAAGACCAGCUCCUCACUCGGCUGUGCCUACAUCAGCUUCUGCCUUUACGAAAAUUCAUAGAAAAUCUAUGGGGUAUUGUGAAGAGGAAGAUGCGAUAUGCCAGACCCAACAAUGCAGAAGAGAUGAAGGCGACUAUCAGAGCAACCUGGGCUCUCAUAACACCUGAGCAGUGCCACAGACUGAUCGACCCCAUGCCACGCUGCAGUGCUGCAGUAAUUCAGGCAAAAGGAGCCCCAACUAAGUAUUGAGUGCUGUACAUGCUCAUACUUUUCAUGUUCAUACUUUUCAGUUGGCCCAGAUUUCUA